ensembl:lncRNA
UCUCAGCUUGGGGAUUGUUUCCCUUGGAGCGUUUAGUGAGCCCUGUCCUUGGAAAGGGAUUCAAUACUGAGCCAGCAUCUAUGAGAGCUGGGAUGGAGCUCUGAAAACAAACUCUGGAAGCUCAGAUUUAAGGGUUUUUCCACUUCAGUUCUCGAUAUGUGAACUAUAUGGACAAGAUAAGGGCAUUGCUCAUCGAGAGUGUGACAGGCUGGCAUUAGCCUGCCCAGAAUUUAAGUCUGAUGCUUUGUUUGGACGAAUUAUAAAUCUGGUCUCUAAGAGUGUCUCAACAAGAAGACACAGCCCUUCACAGUAAUGAAGAAGGAUAGUGUAGAAGACACAGCCCUUUAACAAUAAUGUAGUGUAAUGAAAUCUGACCCCUUGCACACUCAGUAAUGCAUAGUCAAGACAGAAGCACUAGUGCGAUGUUAUGCAGUGCUUUUGGAAGGAUGGAACAAGUUAUUCUUGUUGUGCUCUGGUUGCUAGUGUUGUGGUGGUGGUUUGGAUAUUAAAAAUCCCUUAGCUCAAUAGCAAUGAUGCUAAAAUAGAAGGUUUAUUCACUGCACCUGUCUGAACGUUCUGUAUAUUCUCCCUUGCUACCCUCCCUUGGGCUGGCUGUGUGUUUGGCUGUGGAGGAAGUGGUGAUAUUGCUGGUUUAGCACUGGUGUGGCUGACUGAGGAAAGUGUGAAUGACAAAUCUGGUCUGUGGAGAUCUAGCUUAGGCUUCUGCAUUGUUCCUUAAACUGGUGCUCUCUGACUUUAAUUUCAGCUGAGAUACAUGUGUGCUUUCAUUUAUUAUCCACUAAAGCAGUGCUUAAGGAUUCCAUUGUGCAUGUGGAGAGUGCUAGGAAAAAGCUGGGUUCAUUUGGACGUGGAAAGCUGUGCUGAUAAUUUGCAGUUAAUGCUACUCACAGGUGCUUGCAUCUGUGGGUUUUUAUUUUCUCAUAACU